AUACAACGAAGAGUUUGAUCCUGGCUCAGGAUGAACGCUAGCGACAGGCCUAACACAUGCAAGUCGAGGGGCAACAUGGUAUCAGCUUGCUGAUACCGAUGGCGACCGGCGCACGGGUGAGUAACGCGUAUGUAAUCUACCUGUAACAGAGGGAUAACCCGGAGAAAUCCGGACUAAUACCUCAUAGCACAUAUUAUUCGCAUGAAUUUUAUGUUAAAGAGACUCGGUUACAGAUGAACAUGCGUUCCAUUAGCUGGUUGGCGGGGUCACGGCCCACCAAGGCAACGAUGGAUAGGGGUUCUGAGAGGAAGGUCCCCCACACUGGUACUGAGACACGGACCAGACUCCUACGGGAGGCAGCAGUGAGGAAUAUUGGUCAAUGGGCGGAAGCCUGAACCAGCCA
rnacentral:rRNA from 1 species